AUUUGGCUGUGGCAGGUACAAGAACCUUUUCUAGCCUCUUCCUUCAUGGUUUUCAGCUUAAGGACUGACUUCCUGAAGAUGCUUUCUGGAUGAACUGCAAAGUUGCUGUAAGGGAUUAUUUGAAUUGAUAAAUUAAAACAACUACUUCCAAGUGGAUUCUAAAGCAUGAGAGCUGACAUUGCCAGUAUGGGAGAUUCUCUGCUCAUGGAAGGCAGAAGAAACACUGUUCUUCUAGACCAACUGCAUGCUGUCAACAGAAUGUACAGAAAACAAAAAUACCAGGCAAGACCUGCUAUUUUGAGCACAAGCAACAGCAAUUGGAAAAUAACUUCUGGCCUGGAGACAAAGAGCCAC